GACGAACGCUGGCGGCGUGCUUAACACAUGCAAGUCGAACGGAAAGGCCCUGCUUGCAGGGUACUCGAGUGACGAACGGGUGAGUAACACGUGGGUGAUCUGCCCUGCACUUCGGGAUAAGCCUGGGAAACUGGGUCUAAUACCGGAUAGGACCAUCGUUUAGUGUCGGUGGUGGAAAGUUUUUCGGUGCAGGAUGAGCUCGCGGCCUAUCAGCUUGUUGGUGGGGUAGUGGCCUACCAAGGCGUCGACGGGUAGCCGGCCUGAGAGGGUGGGCGGCCACAUUGGGACUGAGACACGGCCCAGACUCCUACGGGAGGCAGCAGUGGGGAAUAUUGCACGAUGGGCGCAAGCCUGAUGCAGCGACGCCGCGUGGGGGAUGAAGGCCUUCGGGUUGUAAACUCCUUUCAACCAUGACGAAGCGUGAGUGACGGUAGUGGUAGAAGAAGCACCGGCUAACUACGUGCCAGCAGCCGCGGUAACAC
rnacentral:rRNA from 1 species